UUAGGAACACUGGCACCAAGUGCAGGUAAAUACCCCGAGGGCCCAUGUGAUGUAGGGAACAUAGCGGGUGCCUCCCACGGUGCCGCCAUCAUAUGAACUGUAUCUCCCAGUGAUCGUUCCAUUGGCCGCCGGUAGCCGAGUCCCUGGGCAGAAAUGCGCUUCCUUUACCUCCUGGUGUCCCUUCUGUGGCUCUCCCCUGGGCACCCACAUUGGCCGAUGGAAGCCCCCUGAAUGCAGAUGCGGUGUGUACCCAAAGCGGGGGGGUCUGUCGCCCUAACUGCCCCAUGAUGGUGCCAUCGGGGCAAUGCAAUUAUGUGCCUUGUUGCAGGAGUGUCAGAGGCUGAUGGAAGAAGCUGAAUAUUGGAAAUAUAACAACGUCUGUGAUUGGGUGAAUCUGAAAGGAAUCAGAAUAAAAGAAAUCAGAGUAAAGGAAACAAUAAUAAAAGUCAAACUAAC